AGAGUUUGAUCAUGGCUCAGAACGAACGCUGGCGGCAGGCUUAAUACAUGCAAGUCGUGCGAUUAAACCCUCCUUCGGGAGGGAUAUAAAGCGGCAAACGGGUGAGUAACAGGUGGAUAAUCUGCCUCCUGGCGGGGGAUAACGGCUGGAAACGGCCGCUAAUACCGCAUGUGGUUGUCGGGACCCCGGUCCUGACAAAGAAAGGCGCUUCACGGCGUCACCAGGAGAUGAGUCCGCCCCCCAUUAGCUAGUUGGUAGGGUAACGGCCUACCAAGGCUCCGAUGGGUAGCCGAGCUGAGAGGUUGAUCGGCCACACUGGGACUGAGAUACGGCCCAGACACCUACGGGUGGCAGCAGUAGGGAAUAUUGCGCAAUGGACGAAAGUCUGACGCAGCCAUGCCGCGUGAGUGAUGAAGGCUUCGGGUCGUAAAGCUCUUUUCUGAGGGAAGAACAUCUGGUGAAGGAAAUGUCACCGGUCUGACGGUACCUCAGGAAUAAGGAGCGGCUAACUCCGUGCCAGCAGCCGCGGUAAUACGGAGGCUCCUAGCGUUGUUCGGAAUUACUGGGCGUAAAGGGAGCGCAGGCGGAUCGGUAAGUCUGAAGUGGAAUCCCGGGGCUCAACCUCGGAAGUGCUUCGGAUACUGCCGGUCUUGAGUUCGUGAGAGGAAAGCGGAAUUCAGGGUGUAGCGGUGAAAUGCUUAGAUAUCCUGAGGAACACCAAUGGCGAAAGCAGCUUUCUGGCACGAUACUGACGCUGAGGCUCGAAAGCGUGGGUAGCGAACGGGAUUAGAUACCCCAGUAGUCC
rnacentral:rRNA from 1 species